CAGUCUAAGAAAACAGUCCUAACUGAGCCGUUGGUGUGGGUGCCAUCAAGAAGCCAUGGGAAGAUGCAGUUCUGUGGAAGAACAGAGAUGAGAGAGGUAAAUGUGAUAUCCAACUUCAGAAGUCCAUGGGUUCUCUAGCAACCUACAGACCAUACUGGGAAGUUGCAGAUUAUGUAAAGGUAGCAAGACAUUUUAUUAUUCCGGACGUCAAGAGAUGUAGAAAGCUUCUGAAAUGUUUUGUUUAAAAUAUUCCUCUUUUGUUGUAUGAGAGGAAAACCUACUGUAAGUGCCCAAAACACAGUACCUAAUUAUCCUAUCAUCUGUGGUGCGUUGCUAUGCUGUAAAGCCAUUUCCUGUGAAUAAAUCAGUAACAGAAGCAAA